ensembl:snoRNA small nucleolar RNA, C/D box 100
GCUGUACUGUGAUGAUAACUUGGCUCCCUCUACUGACACUGGUGAGGAAAGCAACCAAAAACGUUACCCUAUAUUUCUGAGUGUACAGC